UAGGGAAUCUUCCGCAAUGGACGCAAGUCUGACGGAGCAACGCCGCGUGAGUGAAGAAGGAUUUCGGUUCGUAAAACUCUGUUGUUAGAGAAGAACAGCGCAUAGAGUAACUGUUAUGCGUGUGACGGUACUUAACCAGAAAGGGACGGCUAAAUACGUGCCAGCAGCCGCGGUAAUACGUAUGGAGCGAGCGUUGUCCGGAAUUAUUGGGCGUAAAGGGUACGCAGGCGGUUUAAUAAGUCGAAUGUUAAAGAUCGGGGCUCAACCCCGUAAAGCAUUGGAAACUGAUAAACUUGAGUAGUGGAGAGGAAAGUGGAAUUCCUAGUGUAGUGGUGAAAUACGUAGAUAUUAGGAGGAAUACCAGUAGCGAAGGCGACUUUCUGGACACAAACUGACGCUGGGGUACGAAAGCGUGGGGAGCAAACAGG
rnacentral:rRNA from 1 species